GCCAAUGUGGCGUAGUGGUUUGAGCGUUCGACUGUGACUCUAGAGACCAGGGUUCAAAUUCCUGCUCAUUCA